rnacentral:rRNA from 1 species
UACGUAGGGUGCAAGCGUUGUCCGGAAUUAUUGGGCGUAAAGAGCUUGUAGGCGGUUUGUCGCGUCUGCUGUGAAAAUCCGGGGCUCAACCCCGGACUUGCAGUGGGUACGGGCAGACUAGAGUGUGGUAGGGGAGACUGGAAUUCCCGGUGUAGCGGUGAAAUGCGUAGAGAUCGGGAGGAACACCAGCGGCGAAGGCGGCAACCUGGACAAGUACUGACACUCAACUACGAAAGCGUGGGGAGCAAACAGG